rnacentral:tRNA from 1 species
CAUUAAGAAGCUAUGUAGCAGCACUAGCCUUUUAAGCUGGAGAAAGAGGACACCAACACCUCCUUAAUGA